GAUGAACGCUAGCUACAGGCUUAACACAUGCAAGUCGAGGGGUAACAAGAGGAAAGCUUGCUUUUCUUGUUGACGACCGGCGCACGGGUGAGUAACGCGUAUCCAACCUGCCUAUAACUAGGGAAUAACCUUGCGAAAGUGAGACUAAUACCCUAUGAUUUCCUUUGAUGACAUCAGAUUAGGAAUAAAGAUUUAUCGGUUAUAGAUGGGGAUGCGUCUGAUUAGCUUGUUGGCGGGGUAACGGCCCACCAAGGCAACGAUCAGUAGGGGUUUUGAGAGGAAGGUCCACCACAUUGGAACUGAGACACGGUCCAAACUCCUACGGGAGGCAGCAGUGAGGAAUAUUGGUCAAUGGGCGGAAGCCUGAACCAGCCAAGUAGCGUGCAGGAUGACGGCCCUAUGGGUUGUAAACUGCUUUUACACAGGAAUAAAGUUAGCCACGUGUGGUUAUUUGUAGGUACUGUAUGAAUAAGGACCGGCUAAUUCCGUGCCAGCAGCCGCAGUAA
rnacentral:rRNA from 1 species